UGAGGAACAUGACUUUCGGCGGGGGAUAGCCGGCCCAACGGCCGGGUAAUACCGCGUACGACCACUCGGGGACAUCCCCGGAUGGUGAAAGCAGCAAUGCGCCGAUGGAGUGCCUCGCGGCCUAUCAGCUAGUUGGUGAGGUAACGGCUCACCAAGGCGACGACGGGUAGCUGGUCUGAGAGGAUGGCCAGCCACAUUGGGACUGAGACACGGCCCAGACCUCCGUACGGGAGCA
rnacentral:rRNA from 1 species